GCCGAGCUCAGUAAUGUGGGCUUGUAACCCAAAUGGGGGCAACAAUGUGGUGGAAUGUUGGGCUGCUUUAUUUGGUAGGGCUUGGUGGGCUAAAUUCUGGCCUGCCCUAUCCAAGCUCAGAGUUGGGUCACGUGGCCCAAGCGAAAGCAUGGGUUGCUGGACUCCUAAAGUGGGGCGGACUGCGUGAGGCUGGUUUCACAGAGCAACGAAUAGUUCCCGCUCUGUCCAGUGGAAGGAUAAUGGGCUGGUGUCCUCUAGGCCCAAUAAAUGCCAGAUGGGUUGUUCCAAUUAAACCAUCACUUUU
rnacentral:SRP_RNA from 1 species